rnacentral:rRNA from 1 species
UACGUAGGGGGCAAGCGUUAUCCGGAUUUACUGGGUGUAAAGGGAGCGUAGACGGCGAUGCAAGUCUGAAGUGAAAGGCGGGGGCCCAACCCCCGGACUGCUUUGGAAACUGUAUGGCUGGAGUGCAGGAGAGGUAAGUGGAAUUCCUAGUGUAGCGGUGAAAUGCGUAGAUAUUAGGAGGAACACCAGUGGCGAAAGCGGCUCUCUGGCCUGUAACUGACACUGAGGCUCGAAAGCGUGGGGAGCAAACAGG